UGGGGAAUAUUGCACAAUGGGCGAAAGCCUGAUGCAGCCAUGCCGCGUGUGUGAAGAAGGCCUUCGGGUUGUAAAGCACUUUCAGCGAGGAGGAAGGGUAGUGUGUUAAUAGCACAUUGCAUUGACGUUACUCGCAGAAGAAGCACCGGCUAACUCCGUGCCAGCAGCCGCGGUAAUACGGAGGGUGCAAGCGUUAAUCGGAAUUACUGGGCGUAAAGCGCACGCAGGCGGUUUGUUAAGUCAGAUGUGAAAUCCCCGCGCUUAACGUGGGAACU
rnacentral:rRNA from 1 species